GACGUAGGGCGCGAGCGUUGUCCGGAAUUAUUGGGCGUAAAGAGCUCGUAGGCGGCUUGUCGCGUCGACUGUGAAAACCUGCAGCUCAACUGUGGGCUUGCAGUCGAUACGGGCAGGCUAGAGUUCGGUAGGGGAGACUGGAAUUCCUGGUGUAGCGGUGAAAUGCGCAGAUAUCAGGAGGAACACCGGUGGCGAAGGCGGCCAUCUGGACCGCAACUGACGCUGAGGCGCGAAAGCGUGGGGAGCAAACAGG
rnacentral:rRNA from 1 species